rnacentral:rRNA from 1 species
GUGCCAGCCGCCGCGGUAAUACGGGGGGGGCAAGCGUUGUUCGGAAUUACUGGGCGUAAAGGGCUCGUAGGCGGCCAACUAAGUCGGACGUGAAAUCCCCAGGCUCAACUUGGGAACUGCGUCCGAUACUGAUUGGCUUGAAUCCGGGAGAGGGAUGCAGAAUUCCAGGUGUAGCGGUGAAAUGCGUAGAUAUCUGGAGGAAUACCGGUGGCGAAGGCGGCAUCCUGGACCGGCAUUGACGCUGAUGAGCGAAAGCUAGGGGAGCAAACGGGAUUAGAAACCCGUGUAGUCC